rnacentral:misc_RNA from 1 species
GUAGGUGAACCUGCGGAAGGAUCAUUAACUCAAUAUAUGUGCGGUCACUUCGGUGGCUGUGCAUUAUAUUAACAAAACCAAAUUAACAAUCCGUGAAACUAUACCAAAACCAAAAUGAAUGGGUUCGCGUGUCAUUACUUUGUUUGAAUGCACGUACUCAGCCAAUACCAAUUCCACGUAAUUUUAACCAUAUUAACCCAUUACUGUAGCGAUCUAAAAACAUUCAAAUGUGUUAGAGCGUACUAAAACA